UGGGGAAUUUUGCACAAUGGGGGAAACCCUGAUGCAGCGACGCCGCGUGAUUUAGAAGGCCUUCGGGUUGUAAAAAUCUUUUUUAUGGGAAGAAAAUGUCAGUACCAUAGGAAUAAGGACCGGCUAAUACCGUGCCAGAAGCCGCGGGAAUACGUAAGGUCCGAGCGUUGUCCGGAAUCAUUGGGCGUAAAGGGUACGUAGGCGGGUAAGCAAGUUAGAAGUGAAAUCCUAUAGCUCAACUAUAGUAAGCGUUUAAAACUGCUCAGCUUGAGGUAUGGAAGGGAAAGUGGAAUUCCUAGUGUAGCGGUGAAAUGCGCAGAUAUUAGGAGGAAUACCGGUGGCGAAGGCGACUUUCUGGCCAUAACCUGACGCUGAGGUACGAAAGCGUGGGUAGCAAACAGG
rnacentral:rRNA from 1 species